rnacentral:sRNA from 1 species
GCUGGGCAUGGUGGCGCAUGCCUGUAGUCCCAGCUACUUGGGAGGCUGAGGCAGGAGAAUUGCUUGAACCCAGGAGGCAGAGGUUGUAGUGAGCCAAGAUCGCGCCAUUGCACUCCUGCCUGGGUAACAAUAGCGAAACUCUGUCUCAA